rnacentral:rRNA from 1 species
GAUGAACGCUAGCGGCAGGCUUAAUACAUGGAAGUCGAGGGACAGAACGGGUAGCAAUACUGGGUGGUAACCGGCAAACGGGCGCGGAACACGUACACAACCUUCCUUUAAGUGGGGGAUAGCCCAGAGAAAUUUGGAUUAAUACCCCGUAAUACAGUUGAAUGGCAUCAUUUGAUUAAUAUAGCUACGGCGCAUAAUGAUGGGUGUGCGGCUGAUUAGAUAGUUGGCGGGGGAACGGCCCACCAAGCCUACGAUCAGUGGCUGAUGUGAGAGGAUGAUCAGCCAGACGCGCACUGAGACACUGGACCGACUCCUACGGGAGGCAGCAGUAAGGAAUAUUGGUCCAUGGCCGCAAGUGUGAACCAGCCAUGCCGCGUGAAGGAUUAAGGUCCUCUGGAUUGUAAACUUCUUUUCUUUGGGACGAAAAAGGGCAUUUCUAGGUCAACUGACGGUACCAGAUGAAUAAGCACCGGCUAACUCCGUGCCAGCCGCCGCGGUAACAC